UGGGGAAUAUUGCACAAUGGGGGGAACCCUGAUGCAGCAAUGCCGCGUGGGUGAAGAAGCACUCCGGUGCGUAAAGCCCUGUCAGCAGGGAAGAAAAUGACAGUACCUGGACAAGAAGCCCCGGCUAACUACGUGCCAGCAGCCGCGGUAAUACGUAGGGGGCAAGCGUUAUCCGGAUUUACUGGGUGUAAAGGGAGCGCAGGCGGCGUGGCAAGUCAGAUGUGAAAACCCGGGGCCCAACCCCGGGAGUGCAUUUGAAACUGCCAUGCUGGAGUGCCGGAGAGGUAAGCGGAAUUCCUAGUG
rnacentral:rRNA from 1 species